GGCAUGUCUUUUCUUCCCAAGAAAAUAGAGAGGGGAGACAAUGAAGCUAUGGAGAAAGAAGAAAAAGAAGAGCAAAAGGAAUUGUGGCUAACAAAGAGUUGCAUAUGCACAUACGAGGCUGUGAAGAGACUGAGGU